UAGUUCUGAUAUCUCUUAAGUCACACAUAAAUCUUUCGCUUUUUAUUAAAUAUUUCCGUGGAAAGAAACCUCAAAGAGUUUGAUGUCUUUUUAUGAGGUUUGCUCUGGCAAAGCU